rnacentral:rRNA from 1 species
GGGUUGUGAGGUUAAGCGACUAAGCGUACACGGUGGAUGCCCUGGCAGUCAGAGGCGAUGAAGGACGUGCUAAUCUGCGAUAAGCGUCGGUAAGGUGAUAUGAACCGUUAUAACCGGCGAUUUCCGAAUGGGGAAACCCAGUGUGAUUCGUCACACUAUCAUUAACUGAAUCCAUAGGUUAAUGAGGCGAACCGGGGGAACUGAAACAUCUAAGUACCCCGAGGAAAAGAAAUCAACCGAGAUUCCCCCAGUAGCGGCGAGCGAACGGGGAGGAGCCCAGAGCCUGAAUCAGUGUGUGUGUUAGUGGAAGCGUCUGGAAAGGCGCGCGAUACAGGGUGACAGCCCCGUACACAAAAAUGCACAUACUGUGAGCUCGAUGAGUAGGGCGGGACACGUGGUAUCCUGUCUGAAUAUGGGGGGACCAUCCUCCAAGGCUAAAUACUCCUGACUGACCGAUAGUGAACCAGUACCGUGAGGGAAAGGCGAAAAGAACCCCGGCGAGGGGAGUGAAAAAGAACCUGAAACCGUGUACGUACAAGCAGUGGGAGCACUCUUUAUGGGGUGACUGCGUACCUUUUGUAUAAUGGGUCAGCGACUUAUAUUCUGUAGCAAGGUUAACCGAAUAGGGGAGCCGAAGGGAAACCGAGUCUUAACUGGGCGUUAAGUUGCAGGGUAUAGACCCGAAACCCGGUGAUCUAGCCAUGGGCAGGUUGAAGGUUGGGUAACACUAACUGGAGGACCGAACCGACUAAUGUUGAAAAAUUAGCGGAUGACUUGUGGCUGGGGGUGAAAGGCCAAUCAAACCGGGAGAUAGCUGGUUCUCCCCGAAAGCUAUUUAGGUAGCGCCUCGUGAAUUCAUCUCCGGGGGUAGAGCACUGUUUCGGCAAGGGGGUCAUCCCGACUUACCAACCCGAUGCAAACUGCGAAUACCGGAGAAUGUUAUCACGGGAGACACACGGCGGGUGCUAACGUCCGUCGUGAAGAGGGAAACAACCCAGACCGCCAGCUAAGGUCCCAAAGUCAUGGUUAAGUGGGAAACGAUGUGGGAAGGCCCAGACAGCCAGGAUGUUGGCUUAGAAGCAGCCAUCAUUUAAAGAAAGCGUAAUAGCUCACUGGUCGAGUCGGCCUGCGCGGAAGAUGUAACGGGGCUAAACCAUGCACCGAAGCUGCGGCAGCGACACUAUGUGUUGUUGGGUAGGGGAGCGUUCUGUAAGCCUGUGAAGGUGUGCUGUGAGGCAUGCUGGAGGUAUCAGAAGUGCGAAUGCUGACAUAAGUAACGAUAAAGCGGGUGAAAAGCCCGCUCGCCGGAAGACCAAGGGUUCCUGUCCAACGUUAAUCGGGGCAGGGUGAGUCGACCCCUAAGGCGAGGCCGAAAGGCGUAGUCGAUGGGAAACAGGUUAAUAUUCCUGUACUUGGUGUUACUGCGAAGGGGGGACGGAGAAGGCUAUGUUGGCCGGGCGACGGUUGUCCCGGUUUAAGCGUGUAGGCUGGUUUUCCAGGCAAAUCCGGAAAAUCAAGGCUGAGGCGUGAUGACGAGGCACUACGGUGCUGAAGCAACAAAUGCCCUGCUUCCAGGAAAAGCCUCUAAGCAUCAGGUAACAUCAAAUCGUACCCCAAACCGACACAGGUGGUCAGGUAGAGAAUACCAAGGCGCUUGAGAGAACUCGGGUGAAGGAACUAGGCAAAAUGGUGCCGUAACUUCGGGAGAAGGCACGCUGAUAUGUAGGUGAAGCGACUUGCUCGUGGAGCUGAAAUCAGUCGAAGAUACCAGCUGGCUGCAACUGUUUAUUAAAAACACAGCACUGUGCAAACACGAAAGUGGACGUAUACGGUGUGACGCCUGCCCGGUGCCGGAAGGUUAAUUGAUGGGGU